CAACGCCGUAAACGAUGAGUGCUAAGUGUUGGAGGGUUUCCGCCCUUCAGUGCUGCAGCUAACGCAUUAAAGCACUCCGCCUGGGGAGUACGACCGCAAGGUUGAAACUCAAAGGAAUUGACGGGGGCCCGCACAAGCGGUGGAGCAUGUGGUUUAAUUCGAAGCAACGCGAAGAACCUUACCAGGUCUUGACAUCCUUUGACCACUCUAGAGAUAGAGCUUCCCCUUCGGGGGCAAAGUGACAGGUGGUGCAUGGUUGUCGUCAGCUCGUGUCGUGAGAUGUUGGGUUAAGUCCCGCAACGAGCGCAACCCUUAUUGUUAGUUGCCAUCAUUCAGUUGGGCACUCUAGCAAGACUGCCGGUGACAAACCGGAGGAAGGUGGGGAUGACGUCAAAUCAUCAUGCCCCUUAUGACCUGGGCUACACACGUGCUACAAUGGGAAGUACAACGAGUUGCGAAGUCGCGAGGCUAAGCUAAUCUCUUAAAGCUUCUCUCAGUUCGGAUUGCAGGCUGCAACUCGCCUGCAUGAAGCCGGAAUCGCUAGUAAUCGCGGAUCAGCACGCCGCGGUGAAUACGUUCCCGGGCCUUGUACACACC
rnacentral:rRNA from 1 species